rnacentral:rRNA from 1 species
UACGGAGGGUGCAAGCGUUAUCCGGAUUCACUGGGUUUAAAGGGCUCGUAGGCGGUCCAUCGCGUCGGGAGUGAAAAGCUGGGGCUUAACCCCAGUCCUGCUUCCGAUACGGGUGGACUAGAGGUAGGUAGGGGAGAUCGGAAUUCCUGGUGUAGCGGUGAAAUGCGUAGAUAUCGGGAGGAACACCAGCGGCGAAGGCGGCACUCUGGGCUGGUACUGACGCUGAGGCGCGAAAGCGUGGGGAGCAAACAGG